CCUACGGGUGGCAGCAGUGAGGAAUAUUGGUCAAUGGACGCAAGUCUGAACCAGCCAUGCCGCGUGCAGGAAGACGGCUCUAUGAGUUGUAAACUGCUUUUGUACGAGGGUAAACUCAGAUACGUGUAUAUGUCUGAAAGUAUCUUACGAAUAAGGAUCGGCUAACUCCGUGCCAGCAGCCGCGGUAAUACGGAGGAUUCAAGCGUUAUCCGGAUUUAUUGGGUUUAAAGGGUGCGUAGGCGGUCGGUUAAGUCAGAUGUGAAAUCCCGAGGCUCAACUUCGGAAUUGCCUUUGAUACUGUCCGGCUAGAGAGUAGUUGCGGUAGGCGGAAUGUGUGGUGUAGCGGUGAAAUGCUUAGAGAUCAUACAGAACACCGAUUGCGAAGGCAGCUUACUAAGCUACUUCUGACGUUGAGGCACGAAAGCGUGGGGAGCAAACAGGAUUAGAUACCCGAGUAGUC
rnacentral:rRNA from 1 species